GCAUCGAUGAAGAACGCAGCCAAAUGCGAUAUCUAGUGCGAAUUGCAUGAAUCUGUGAGUCAUCUAGUAUUUGAACGCAACUUGCGCCGAUUUUUGGCAUGUUCCGGUGAGGGCGUGUGCAUACUGAUGGAUUUAUCUGACAUGGCUGCUGUGUGUGGUGGGUGCGAGCCUGCCACAGACUCGGUCUAAUAGAAGCAAGAUGCGGUUUGUUCUAGAGAACCGAGUGCCAAGCGACUGCCAAGCAUUCUUGGGGCUCUAGAUCAUCCAAUUACAUCACUCUACGCCUCACCUGGAGCAGGACUACCCGCUGAACUUAAGCAUAUCAAUAAGCGGAGGA
rnacentral:rRNA from 1 species